CUUCCCAUUUGACUACUACUUAUUUGUACCACAAAAUAAGCGGCUAUGCUUAUGGGAUAAAAAAAAGCCUGCCAUAGUCUGAAGGAAAAGAUUGACAAUAUCUUCUUCCUAUAUGAAAUGGCAGAACAUAUUAUA